AUUGAACGGUGACGGCAUGCCUUACACAUGCAAGUCGAACGGUAACGGGCCUUCGGGUGCCGACGAGUGGCGCACGGGUGAGUAAUACAUCGGAACGUGCCCGAUCGUGGGGGAUAACGAGGCGAAAGCUUUGCUAAUACCGCAUACGAUCUACGGAUGAAAGCAGGGGACCGCAAGGCCUUGCGCGGACGGAGCGGCCGAUGGCAGAUUAGGUAGUUGGUGGGAUAAAAGCUUACCAAGCCGACGAUCUGUAGCUGGUCUGAGAGGAUGAUCAGCCACACUGGGACUGAGACACGGCCCAGACUCCUACGGGAGGCAGCAGUGGGGAAUUUUGGACAAUGGGCGCAAGCCUGAUCCAGCCAUGCCGCGUGCAGGAUGAAGGCCUUCGGGUUGUAAACUGCUUUUGUACGGAACGAAAAGCCUUCUUUUAAUACAGGAGGGUCAUGACGGUACCGUAAGAAUAAGCACCGGCUAACUACGUG
rnacentral:rRNA from 1 species